GGCCAGUCUGGCAUAGUGGUUAGGGUGUCAGGCUGGGGACUGGGAGACCAGGGUUCAAAUCCCCACUUGGCCA